UAUGGGCAACUGCACAACUCUUCCUCUACACUGGUUUUGAUGAAUCUCCCCCAUAGAGUUCUGUGAUUAUACUCAUAUUAGUUUGAACUUUUGUGAACUAGGUCAAUUGAAUACAACACAUUACCUCCUUUUUCAAUUAACCUAGUUGCCCAUUUAUGGUAUCCAAUCAACCUAGUUUCCACGGUUCAAAGUAUCAAUUGACCUAUAUCUGUCAAACCUAAUUAAAGAAUAAUCACACAACUUGAGCUGAACCCAGGAAUUGAACCCACACCAGGGUCUCCCAUACAUAUUACUACCAGUACCCUGCUGUUUAGCUUCCUACUUCAUUUGACACAGGAUCUCCAUAGACCACAAUGGGCCAUUGAAUUCAAUGGGCAAAAAAUCUCAAUGUUAUAGAUCUAGCCCAUUCAUUCCUAUACACCAACAAUAGACCAUGGAGGCUGACUUCAUACACAGCCUCCAAUGGUAUUCUGACUCACCAAAAUGAUAAUGUUUAAUGGGUUAAUUUAUUCCUAAAUUUCUGUACUUUCCUAUUUUGUCUGUAGCUUGAUGCAUUGGACAAACAUUUUAGCAGGAACUGGUGGGUUUGGAUAAAACAGUCCCCCAUAGGGCUACUGUAAGUGGUCCCCAAAAUUUUUUGUGACACCCCUAUGUCCAUUUAAUAUAUUGUUCAAGAGGAUUACAUUUUUUUAUUGUAUACAAUUUUUUAUCUUUUUGUAUUCAUUUUUAGAAACGAAAAGCUCUUCUGGAAAGACUAAGAAAAAAGGCAGAACUACAUGGCGAGCUACAUGAGCACUCUUUCCAAAACGAUCCAGAGUGGCCAAGCAUCAAUGACAUCCCAGGGUUAUUCGCAAGUCCGCUUAUAGAUCCUACUCUUGUUUUGCGCAUGGAAUCCUUGGGCCUAAACGACGAAAGCCAAUACCAUCAUGUGUCGUCAAUUUUAUUAGGUCUGAAUUUCCAGAUCCUGACGGGCAAUAUAUUGGAUUCCACUGGCCUGAUGAAUACCCAGCAAGUGGCAUGGCUGCUGAUGUUUGAUUCACUAUGACACUUACUUUCUGCACUUUUCAUGUUACUACAGUUUUACAUUGCAUUUUUAUUGUUUACAAUUUUUUUAUGUUUAUUUAUCUUGUUAUUUAUAUUAUAUUAAUUAGUUAUUUAAAUUUUUAUGGUGGUUAUUUUAUUUUGUCUAUUUUAAUCUGUCUACACCAGUCAUUUCCCAAACGUGGUCCCUCGGCACACUGCUAUUCCAUUUGACACUUCCCAUUGUUGGAGUUUAUUUUUCCGUUGAUUUUUUUAUUUUUUUAUUUCCAGCCCUGGCAUGCUCGCUGAUGACUGACGGCGCAGGGUGGAAGGGAAGCCUGCGUGCGAACUGCGCACAGUGUCCCACUCCCCCUUGCGGCCCAGUGAGGCAAAAAUGGAGCCAUGGUGAAGAAGCUGUAAUACCUGCGGUGCCACCGUCACUGCGGUGUCACCCAGGUCCACCCUCUACCCACCCCAACUGUCAACCCCCCGUCCACACCCGUGUCACCAUGUUCAUCCUCCUGUCCUCACUGUCACACAUGUUCCCCCUCCCCAUCAAUCAUGUCUACCCCCUAUUCACAUCUGUCACCCAUGUACACUCCUCUACACCCCUGUUACCCAAUUACACCCCUCUGUUACCCAUGUACACUCCUCUACACCCCUCUAUAAACCAUGUACACUCCUCUACACCCCUCUAUAAACCAUGUACACUCCUCUACACCCCUC